rnacentral:rRNA from 1 species
AGAGUUUGAUCCUGGCUCAGGAUGAACGCUAGCGGCAGGCCUAACACAUGCAAGUCGAGGGGCAGCGGGUUCUAGCAAUAGAAUGCCGGCGACCGGCGCACGGGUGCGUAACGCGUAUACAAUUUACCCUAUACUGGGAGAUAGCCCGGAGAAAUUCGGAUUAAUAUCGCAUAAAAUUUUUUCAUCGCAUGAUGAGAAUCUUAAAGCUACGGCGGUAUAGGAUGAGUAUGCGUCUGAUUAGCUAGUUGGUGAGGUAAAGGCUCACCAAGGCAACGAUCAGUAGGGGGCCUGAGAGGGUUAUCCCCCACACUGGAACUGAGACACGGUCCAGACUCCUACGGGAGGCAGCAGUGAGGAAUAUUGGUCAAUGGAGGCAACUCUGAACCAGCCAUGCCGCGUGUAGGAAGAAUGCCCUCUGGGUUGUAAACUACUUUUAUUGGGGAAGAAACCCUCUUACGUGUAAGAGGCUGACGGUACCCAAGGAAUAAGGACCGGCUAACUCCGUGCCAGCAGCCGCGGUAAUACGGGGGGUCCAAGCGUUAUCCGGAAUCAUUGGGUUUAAAGGGUGCGCAGGCGGUAGUGUAAGUCAGUGGUGAAAUCUCUCGGCUCAACCGAGAAACUGCCAUUGAUACUGCAGUACUUGAAUACAGUUGAAGUAGGCGGAAUGUGUAGUGUAGCGGUGAAAUGCUUAGAUAUUACACAGAACACCGAUAGCGAAGGCAGCUUACUAAACUGAUAUUGACGCUCAUGCACGAAAGCGUGGGGAGCGAACAGGAUUAGAUACCCUGGUAGUCC